rnacentral:rRNA from 1 species
GACGAACGCUGGCGGCGUGCUUAACACAUGCAAGUCGAACGCUGAAGCUUGGUGCUUGCACUGGGUGGAUGAGUGGCGAACGGGUGAGUAAUACGUGAGUAACCUGCCCUUGACUCUGGGAUAAGCCUGGGAAACUGGGUCUAAUACUGGAUACGACAUGCCACUGCAUGGUGGUGUGUGGAAAGGGUUUUACUGGUUUUGGAUGGGCUCACGGCCUAUCAGCUUGUUGGUGGGGUAAUGGCCUACCAAGGCGACGACGGGUAGCCGGCCUGAGAGGGUGACCGGCCACACUGGGUCUGAGACACGGCCCAGACUCCUACGGGAGGCAGCAGUGGGGAAUAUUGCACAAUGGGCGGAAGCCUGAUGCAGCGACGCCGCGUGAGGGAUGACGGCCUUCGGGUUGUAAACCUCUUUCAGCACGGAAGAAGCGAGAGUGACGGUACGUGCAGAAGAAGCGCCGGCUAACUACGUG